rnacentral:misc_RNA from 1 species
GAUGAAGAACGUAGCGAAAUGCGAUACUUGGUGUGAAUUGCAGAAUCCCGUGAACCAUCAAGUCUUUGAACGCAAGUUGCGCCCGAAGCCAUUAGGCCGAGGGCACGCCUGCCUGGGCGUCACACGUCGUUGCCCCCCCAUCUAAUCCUUCGGGAUUGCGGGGGGCGGAUGAUGGCCUCCCGUGCGCCUCGUCGCGCGGUUGGCAUAAAUGCCAAGUCCUCGGCGACGCACGCCACGACAAUCGGUGGUUGCGAAACCUCGGUUGCCCGUUGUGUGCGGUCGUCGCGCAUCGAGGGCUCGAAAAAAUUGCCGGGCUCCGGCUCGACUUUCAACGCGACCCCAGGUCAGGCGGGGUUACCCGCUGAAUUUAAGCAUAUCAAUAAGCGGAGGA